CAGCCAAACUAAUCUAAUCACUUAGUUAAUAAAAUAGAGCAACAAUACGUAGUUUAUACUAAAGUUAAACUUAAGUCAUUUUGUAUCAAAUAACGAACAUGAGAUUUAUCUUAUCCCAAAUAGGCUUAUAAUUUAAAAAGCUUCACUUUGUUACACUAUGCAAUCAAAUCAUCCAAGUCUAGUUUUAUCCUUUUCUAUACUCACGUACAUAGAUAUCAAAGAUACCAAACUCUUAUACC
rnacentral:lncRNA from 1 species